rnacentral:lncRNA from 1 species
UGGCUAGCUUUCAUAGGAUGACUGUGGCUGUCAUUGUAAUAGUUAACCUCAGCAAAAGAUCGAGGUGAGAUCAACAUCAUAUGAGACUCCGGACAUCUCGGAUAUAUGAAACACUUUGCUUUAGGUCGGUAUUUAUAUAAACUGAAAUGAGUUAGAUUGGUAUUUGUAUGGAUUGAUCAUAAUACAUCAUCAGAGGCCAAUUCAAAUAGCCCAGGUCGG